UACGUAGGCAGCGAGCGUUGUUCGGAAUUACUGGGCGUAAAGAGUGUGUAGGCGGUGCUCUAAGUUCGGUGUGAAAUCUCCCGGCUUAACUGGGAGGGUGCGCCGGAAACUGGAGUGCUCGAACGUGGGAGAGGAAAGCGGAAUUCCCGGUGUAGCGGUGAAAUGCGUAGAUAUCGGGGAGGAACACCUGCGGUGUAGACGGCUUUCUGGACCAUUGUUGACGCUGAGACACGAAAGCCGUGGGUAGCA
rnacentral:rRNA from 1 species